AGCAGGAUGGUCAAGUGGUUAAGGCGUUGGACUUAAGAUCCAAGUGACAAAUGUCCAUGUGGGUUCAAACCCCACUCCUGGUA
rnacentral:tRNA from 1 species